rnacentral:rRNA from 1 species
UACAUGGGGUGCAAACGUUGCUCGGAAUCAUUGGGCGUAAAGCGCGCGUAGGCGGUUGCUUAAGUCGGAUGUGAAAGCCCUCGGCUUAACUGAGGAAGUGCAUCCGAAACUGAGCAGCUAGAGUACGAAAGAGGGUCGCGGAAUUCCCGGUGUAGAGGUGAAAUUCGUAGAUAUCGGGAGGAACACCAGUGGCGAAGGCGGCUCACUGGCCCGUAACUGACGCUGAGGCACGAAAGCGUGAGGAGCAAACAGG